ensembl:lncRNA
UUUGCUUUUUAGUGCCACACUUGUGGCAUAUGGAAGUUCCCAGGUUUGGGGUCAAAUCAGAGCUACACCUUCUGGCCUACACCACAGUCCCAGUAAGGCCAGAUCCAAGCCACAUCUGCAACGUACCCCACAGCUCAUGGCCAUGCUGGAUCGUUAAUCUGUUGAGCGAGGCCAGGGAACAAACCUGCAUCCUCAGGGAUACUAGUUGGGUUCAUAACCCACUGGGCUGCAAUGGAAACUCUCUGGAUACAUUUUUCUUAAAUGUUCUUCUGGGAUUUCUUCAAUGAGAUGUCCCUUUUGAAGAUGAUGGGCUGUGGCUGCAUUUCUUCUGCAUUUUAUAAUCUAUAUUUAAAUAUGCACUGUAUUUUUUUAUUUCGAGUUUAAUUUUUUAGUUCAAAGAUUUCUGUUUGGUUCUUUAGAAAUUUCGUAUCUCUUGACAUUCACUAUCUUACUCUCAUGAAGAUUCCUUGUACAUAUUUCAAUUGUUAUUUUAAAUCUUAUCCCAGAUGCUGGAAUUAGUAGUCAAUCUGUGGAUUUCCUUUGGUUGAUUGUUUCUCCUUGUAAUUAUAUUUUGUUAAUUUUUAUCAUAUAUGGUAAUUUUUGAUUGUACAGUGGAUGUUAUAAAUGAUGUAUUGUAUAUACUCUAGCUUAUUUGUGCUCCUCCGAAGAGUGUGGGAUUUUGUUUCAGCAGAUAAUUAAUUUAAUGAUGAGUCACUUUUAUCCACAGCAAUUUCAUUAGUGAAGGUCUAUUCUGGGUUUUCCCUUAGUCCUAGGACAUAGAUCUUAGUUCUGCCAUGUAGUUCUUAUUCCUAAGGCAUAAUCCUUUUGUGAGUUUACCCAAAAACUGAUUUACCCAAAAGGUGAUUACUAAUCUAAUAUAACUUGAUAAGGACUACACUUCAAAUUCUUCCCAACAUCAGAAAGCUGCUGAAUUUUUAGUUCUUUUAGCCUUCUAGUUUUUUAAUUUCUGGGAGCCACACUCCACAUGAGUAUAAUUUAGGAAUAUAUUAAAGAUUUUUGAAGAACAUACAUACAGAUUUUAAGGCUUCUACCCUCUGUGACUUUCCUCUUUUACUGGAUUUCUGUUUUGAUUUCUAGCCUUUCUUGCAACUGGGGAAAAAUCAUUUGAAUGCGAAUUGAAAACUAUCAGAUUUUCCUUUUUUUCUAACAUUUUAAUCCCUCAAAUUUCUGCCUAUGAUUUGUCACUCUUCUGUGCUUUCAAAUAACUAUCAUACAUAUCUUAUUUGACAUGUAUAUUUGUUAAUAGCAGAAAUAUUAGUCUAAUGAAGUCUUCACCACCAUUAUUUAAAGAAGACCCUAGGGAGACUUUUAAAAGAGAUGCCUGAUAUAUAAAACUGAAGCAAAAAUAAGUAAAAAAUAAAAGAGACACACACCACAAAUGAAUAGAUUCUGAAUAUAAUCAAGUCUCUCUAUCCACCUACAAGCUUACAGGAAAAAGAAAAAUUAGAUAAACCAUGAAGGUACUGAUAAAUUCAUAGUGUGCAGCAGUCGAUAUUUAAGCAAUCUAAUUUGUCCUGUAAAUCAAAGGCAUGAAAAUGGAAUAAAGGCUUAUAGGAUGAAAGACACUAAAGACAUUUAACAAUCAAAUGUUAUAACUGGUACUGGUUUAGAGUUUGAUUUUUAAAAGGAGCUAUAAAAGAACAUUUUGGAGAUAAUUAUAGAAAUUUGAACAUGGGUAGGGAAUUAAGUGACAUUACCCAUAAUCCAGUAGCUGCUAGGACACAAGGAAGCCAGCAUUUGAAACAAGGUUUGUGUAAUUUGAAGACUGUGCUCUCAGCCACUGAGGUAUAGACGCUGAAGAUAGACACGGGAUCUUAAUUUUUACUGUAUCCUCCAGUGCACUUGGAACAGAGCAGUAAGUCCCUAUUUUAUUCAGCAUGAGUGGAAUAGCAUGAGUAAAUACAUUCAGACGCAGGAAAUGAAGAUGACAGUUUGAGUGAGGGAAUUCCACUAAUGACAAGUUGUCUCUCUUGCAUCUUUUUAAAUCAUUCAUGUUAUGCUGGAAGUUACUGGUGUCCUACUACAUUGCUGAGUAUGUCUUUCUCUUCAAGUGCUUACACUUUAAACAAGAAAUGUGUGUAUGAAGGUGAGAAGGGAAUUGUGAGUACUAGAGAGAGACUCUUUACUCAGUCGUAUUACUUAUGCUGCUUUCAAAUAUUUUUUGUGCAUUACAGGUGUUACGGUAGUCAUAGCUAAUAUUUAUGAAGCUUUUGAUAGUGAACCAGGCAAGGUUAUACACGUUUCAUAGGCUACCUCAUUUAAAAGCCAAGCAGAACUAUGAUACCUGCACUAUUGCUAUUCACAUUUUACAGAUAAGGAACAUGAGACUUGGGGAGGGGGUGAGUUAAAUGUCUUUCCCAAGGUGACAGAUGAGGAAAGUGGUGCAAACACUGAUCUAAGUCCAGAGUUUAAUUACUUAACACUGUCUUUACUGUGCUCUUUAUCUUUCUUUCUGCCAUCCAAAUCAAUGGAAAAAUGUUUUGUUAAAAAGGGAAAUACUACUGGUAACAGUGGGAUUCUAGUAAAAAGCAUGAAAGUUCUUGAUUUAUUCCUGUUUAAAGGUCGUAUUUUUUUUUUCUGAAAAAGCCAAUCCCUGGGCAAAUUCAUGGUUCCUUCUAAAAUUCUGAAAACCAUGACUGGGUUCCAGAAGCAUCUCAGUGGAGUUGAGAAGAUUUAAAUAAUUAAGGUUGCCAGAGGAUUCAGAGAAUUUCUGGCCCCUCUUACAACUAGGUCAGGAAGAUCAAGACCUAUAUUAAAAACUGACAGGACCUUCCUACUCAACUUGAGAUUUGGUCAGGAUCUUCCUUCAGCAUCUGCCAUCCAAUUUCGACCUUUAAAAAGAUCAGCUGGAAGCAGGAAUUAAAGACUUAAAUACCUAUGAACCGUAGCAUCUUAGAAAACACUUCCUAUUAUCACUUAGUCCAACUUUCUCAUUUCACAAAUGAUGAAUCUAAGAGGAGGGGUUCUGUGACCCAAAAUCUCAAUGGCAAAUUAAUACUUUUUUUUUCUCUAAAACACAGUCCAGUGUUCUUUCUACCUCAGUGUGGAUUGUUUAAAGAGAGGUAAGCCAAGAAGGUGAAACAUCUAUAUGAAGGCAUUUUUAUCAAUAGAGUACUGAACAAUAGUACUACCACAAAUAAAUAGGUAGUAAAGAUUUCAACUAGGAGAAAACACUCCAGUUACACAGAGUGAAUAGAUUAUGGAGAUGUAAUAUGCAGCAUGGUCAAUAGAUCUAACAAUACCAUACCGUAUAUUUGAAAGUCGCCAAGAGAGCUGAUCUUAAAUGUUCUCAUCACGCACACACACAAAAUCAUAACUAUGUGAGGUGAUGGAUAUUUUAAUUAGUUUGUGGUUAUCAUUUUGCAGGGUACACAUGUAUCAAAACACAUUGUAUCCUUUAAAUACAUACUAUCUUUAUAUGUCAAUUAUACCUCACAAAGGAUUCCAUGUAGCAGGAACAGCAAGCACGAGCAAAGAGGCAACUUAGAUUCAUAAAGAAUGUGGUUUCCCAGGCAGCUGAGCAAGAAAUUAACUUCGCUCUGGACUCACCAAAUCCUGGCAUCCUCACCUUAGUCUUACACUUUCCCUACCACUAUCGGCUUAAGUUUCUCAAUGUUCUUUUCCUCCCCUGAAUUUCUUCAGUGCUUUUAUGUAGAUGCCCAUCUGUCCCAACUUAACGUCUCUAAGGAGACUCUAAUCUUUUAAUAAUCACCAGAAAUAUUCGCUGUAAACAUUUAAUUCCAGCACGUCUCUACCAAUCAGUCUGAUUUCUGACACAGGCAAAGAGCCAGCAUUUCUGCGCACACAGACAGAUGGAAAAGAAAUGCCUAAUAUCCUGCCCCACAGAGAGUCUCUCCAGUAAUUCCCUGACCACCACACCCAGGGGACAAGAAUAGGGACUUCUUGAUUUCUCUGCUGUGUUGACUGAUUAGCGAGGUUAGCGUGUAUUGUCAGUAUGUCAGCUUUGAUUUUCUAAUCUGACAGGUCUUACAUACAAUGGACGGGCCUGUUCUAGGUACCAUACAGAUUUACAAAUAAAAACUAAAAUUAUGGUUCCUUUCUUCCUUCAAGAUUAUAAUAUUUUUCUUCUCUGAGGGUAGAGAAUGAGCUUUAUACUAUUCAUUGCAACCUACAGUUUUCCUCUUUAGCAUAUAAGUUCAUUGUAAAUUAAUAACCUUGCAUAUAAUCAUUUUAUAUUCUGCACUAAAUGUUAAGUUCCUCGGGGAAGAGGGACAUGACUGUCCGAUGCGUCACUGUAGUAAGCAUCUUUCACAGUGGGUAACACCUAACUGGUAUCAGUCAAAUCUUCUUGUAUACAAUAAUUAAUUCAAGUAUAUGUCCUUGUGUCAUUCACAAUCUAGAAGGGAACUAAUCUGUUUGGAUUUAGAAGAGGCAAGACAUAAACAUAUGAAUUGGUUGGGAGGUGAGGCAAUAUUCCUUCAGUAAAUAUUUGAGUAACUAUCCCGUGAUUGGCAUUACGCUGGGCAUAGAUUAUUCAGUAAAAAUAGGAAAAGCCUUUGGUUUUAAUGAGAUGAUUUUCUGCUUGUGGAACCAGAUGCUAGUCAAAUAAUCACACAAAAUAGACAAAUGCAACUCAGACAAAUGCCAUGAAUCUGCUGUAUAGUGAUUCAUUUAGAUUUUAGGAGCUGUAAGCAAGGGAUUUCCAAGAGAAAAGUGAGGACAGGUAACCACAGUCAGGCAAGUAUAGCUUCAAUUUGGCCCAUUACUAUUAAUGUCUUCCUUCCUGUCCGUGGACACAGGCAGCAUAGAACCCAUGACCACAUCUCAGCCAGUGAGAAACUCCUUUCAGAUCCUAGAGCCCACCAACAUUUGGAAUCUUUCUUCCUGAUUUCCAUCCUGCUCCCUCACUCCUAGAAGGCUCUAUUCAUUUGGUCCCUUUGGAUAAAGAUCACAGCUGGACACUUAGCUUGGCUGGGUGGCCUCUACAGCCUCCUCUGGUAUCAGUCCAUCCCAGUAACUAAUUUAUAGCUUAAAGCCCCAAUCCCCGGGUUUGUGUAUGUGUGUUGUAGGGGAAUUGCACCUUAUGCCAUGCACUUCCCUGCCUCUGCAACUGUAUAUGCGCUUCCAUCCAUCUCCCAUCCCUUCUUCCCAGUUUCAUUAUAUCCAAUCCAAAAGCUCCAGGUCUAACUCAAGUCUGAUCUCCUCCAGGAGGUUUCCAAUCUUUCCGUCAUCUCUGUACUUUGCACAAUUUUCUGUUACUUCACUCAGAAGUAAAAGUACAUCACUUCCUGUCACCCACUGCUCAGAACUUUCUAGCAGCUCCUUUUCUACUGAAAAUAAAGCCUAAACCCCAUACCAUGCACGCCCUGCUAAGUCCUAUGUAAACUACCCCUAUGGACUGAUGACAUUCAGUGUUGUUCCAUCACUCCCACUUACUGAGCUUUCUUUGAAUUCCCAAAACAUGUCAACUUCAUUCCCACCCAAUGACUCUGAGGCUUGCUAGUCCUUUUCCUGCAGAAUCUGAUCUCCAGAAUAUUGCCUACCUGGUUUUUCUGCGACUACCACUACUGACUCUCAGAGGCCACCUUGGGGCAGCUACUCUGAAGUUACUUCUGCCUUACCUUAGUCAAUCUCCAUUAAAUUAUCCUAAUUUGUCUUCUCAAUGGAUCUUACUACUCUUUCAAGUAUUUACUUAUAUAGCAUAAAUAGAUAUUCUAAUAAGUGUCUAAUUUCCAGUCAAUCUUGAUUAAUAAGGAGAAUGAAUGUAACACUCUUGCAUCUGGCCGCUUACUCCUUCCUGGGACAUGAUCAUCUAUUAUUACCUCAAAUUCUUUCUUCUGAGGUCUACUCCAUCCUCCCUACAGCUCUUCUAAAUAGGAUUUAAAUCAUCAUCCCCUCUCCUGUGUUUUCAUGCAUAUUUUAUUCAUGGAGCAUAUUUAAAUACUCCGAUCCUCAACAAACUCAAGGAGUACCGGCCACUCAAUAUUCCAUUGGUUCAUUAUCUAAGCCAGCCAACCUCUAUUUCACUUGUCGAUUUCCUAGAGGAAUCAGGCCCAAGUAUACUGUGUUUCCCAAACUAAAAAGAUAUCCUAUCAAACCCUAACUGGUCUUAAAGUACCUCUCUCUUCACUUGAGAUGAAGUGAGAAGCAAAUCUAUCCUUGCCAUCCACCCUCAGGGAAAGGAGUGCACUCAGAGAAUCCCAAGCAGAAAUCCUCUUUUAGCCUCACCUGCUGAUUUUUAGUUAUGCUCAUUGCAGAUGGAGAUUUUAAUAGAUGCAGAAGUGGAUUUCAACACCGCUUGCAUUUUACAUUGGAGUAUGAUACUCUUAUGGUGCUUCAUCCAAAAAUUCCACUUCAACAUCCUUUAUUAAGUAUCUGCCUCUGGAAUUGCACUCAUGAUCUUAGCAAUGAACAUGGCAUAGGAACCUACGAGUCAGGAUGGAAGCUACCUGAAAACAGCUGCACGGCACAGCCAUACUAUUUUAUAACAUAGUAACACCAGCCCUCUCCAUCUCCUCCCACUAGAAUCUACACCUCAAGGAAAUAAGGCGCUUAUGUGUCUUGUUCACCACUGUGUACCCUUUUGAGCCAAAACCAGUAUCUGGCACAGAGUACCUGCUCAGCAUAUAUCAGGUGAAUGAAUUAAAUGACUAAACAUUGACUGUGUGCCAGAUAACACUGAUGAAAGCUUUGGAUUAAAAUAUAUAUCUCAAAGGUAUUUAUUGUUCAUUUUUUACAUAAAAUAGCUGAGGUUCAAAGAAGUUAAGUGAUUUGUCUGAGGUUAAACAUGUGAAAGCAUCUAAGCUGGGAUUCCAAUCUAGGCAGUCUGACUCAAAUCACUUAACUUUCUCUACUAGACUCUAUUAGGUGCAGUAUACUGCCAGCCCUCGAGAGAUGGAACUAAGCCUGACACUUCUUAUAUUCCAAUAUAAAGAAUAACACAUGGUACAAUGGAGAGUGCAUGUGCAAUGAAAAAUAUGUGUACUAUAGAAUUUUGGAAGGCCCUAUCAAGUUCAUGGGCAAAAUUCACUUUCAGAAAAGAUUCUUACAAAGGAAGCCUUCUCCGAUUACUCUGAAAAGAUGCCUUCCAUUUCAAAAGCUGUAGAUGGGGAAUAAAAGCAUUCUGAGAGAAUGGAAGGGUAGGGAUGGGCUAAGAAUAGAAAGAAGAGAAUCAGGAGAAUAUAUGAAGUCAAAUCCAUCAAACUUAGUAGCUGAUCAGAUAUUGUAGGUAAAGAGAAAGGAGAUGUGGCUACUGAUAUGAUUUCACAGCUCCAAACUGAAACCAGGAAGAUAAAGGAAAUGUAUUUACCAUUAAGAGAAGUAGAAGCCUGGUGAUGGUUUGAAAGUGAAGCUAAAGGGACAAGAGCCUGUAGGAUCAGAUGCAUCAAUAAAAGGACAAAGGAGAAUCCUAGGGAGCCCCCUCCAGGUAAUGAGCUCCACAAAUUUUUAAUUGACCCAAAGGGCAUAUUUUAGAUGUAGCUCUGUUCCAGAAAAUGGAGACAUUCCACAAAGAUAACUGGUAGUAAUAGGGCCAAAACAAUCUUUGUGGUUCCUGCAAGGUCUUCGCCAUGUCU